CCAAAGGCUCUUUUAAGAGCCACCCACGUUUACACAUAAAGAGCC
rfam:Danio rerio chromosome 7, GRCz11 reference primary assembly.